CCAGAGCAAGGUUGCCUCCGGGACCCACGUAGGUGGGCCUGACCGCAAGGAAAGCUAGUGUCCUUUUAUGAAUACCACUAGAGGAAGAAGAGAGCGUGUCCAAAGGAUGCAGAUGUGAGUAAUCAGAUGACGAGAAAAAGCAGAAGGGCACUUGGCAUUUCCCCUUCACCUCCACGAUCCCUCCCUGUGCUGGAUGCGGACACGUCUUCCCUUUGUAACUUUGGCUCCGUUAACUGGGAAGAGCCUUCCAAAAGGCCACAGGAAGGUCUACAUUUGAAAAACCAAUCAUUUCCUCUACUGCUGAGAAGUGAGCCAGAGCGACCUAACCUCCACUUCACCCUAGGUAAUGAGGACUUGGCUUGCAGUGGUCUGAAAGGGUAAUCUCCUGAUUGGCCUCCAGAGAGCCCUGUGCCGGCUCAUUUAUGAAGCUUUAAAACAAUUGCAAGUCUUCGGCAAAAGGCCUUCAGGGGCCACCCACGCCGGACAUGAAUCAUUUGCAUGUGUAUCAUUCACUUCCCACCAACAAUGCCACCCACAGGCUGCAUGGAGGACCCGGGGCUUUCAAAGAAGGGAAGAAAACUUCAGCCGUGCAAAGAAGCCCUACCGAAGUCUAAGCUCCUGCCCUCCUGGGGGAGGUGGGGGGUGCAUUCCUCAGGCCAAGAAGUCGGACUCUGACUUCCUUUGAAAUCCCUCCUGGUGACCAACACGGAAUUAGUUAAACUAGUAGGCACUUGGUUGCCUGAUCUCCCACGCCAGAUUUUCGAACCAAAAAACCAAAAACCCUGGCAGGAAGACAUUUUCAAAUUCCAGAAAUGCUGACGGACCUCCAGCGUUUCCAUGUUCCUCCCCACCUGAAGAAUGUUAAGAUAAGCUUAAUGUGAUUAUAACGAGACUUAUAUGCCCAACAAGCAUAGUUUGGGAAAGAGAUUUGCUUUGAAUACUGUGAAAUAAGCUUUAAUCUGUCAGGUUUAAAAAAAAAAGUUCCUGUGAAUUAAUAAUGCAAACAGCACUGUGCUUUCUGAGUGCGACUAUAAAAGAAUUUAAUGACCUCCUAUUGUGUCAAGCUGUGGAUUAACUUCAAUUUUCAGAAGAUCCCAGGAUGCAGGAGUCAGGGUUUGAACUCCUGAGAAAAGUAAAUGCUAAACCCUAAAUGGCCACUGAGUAAAGAAUCCUAUUGUCCCCGCUGCAUAGCAACCAGUCCCAGUAGGAGGAUAUCCUACUUUGGAUAAAAUGAAGUGUCCAGAAAGUGAAAACAGCCUUGACACCAGUUUGUGUUAAAACUAUAUGAAUAUUUAAAAUGCUUAACAUCUGAUCAAAUAACUGAUUCCCGAAGAUUAGCUCUAAACCUUAGACAAGUAGUACAGCGGUCAUUACAUUUCGUAAUCACUUUCAGGCCGAACUCAGUUGGGGUGGACAUUUCAAUUCACAGAAUCAACUGCUAGGUCCCCAUUUAGGAACUCCAUUCCUCCUGGGUGGGCUGACGAUGAAGCCCUUGUUACUCCCUGGUGUCACAUAGCACCAGCUUAUGUCUUAAGGGCAAUGCUGGCGUGAGGACAUGAGAGUAGAGCCCCACAAAUCAGGAAUGUGGUGACAAGAACUGCACAGUGGGGCAGGGAGCUAAGAGAAGGGUCCAGUGGGGAUCCAUAAUGGGCAACACAGAAGGUAGCUGUGCACACAGGCACCAGAGUCUUCAUCCUGGGCCACUGCAGAGAGCCCCCUAAACCCAGAAAAGAACUUGCUCCCAAACAAAAUCAGAUUUACAAGGAAAUGAAUCUUGGAGAGCAUCUCCCCAGGGCCUUUGGCCUCCAUCAGCUGGGACACCCACGUUCCCAGAAGGAGGAUGGCCACCUCCUCGGUGGGAUUUCCCAAGGGCUCCUGCUAGAAUGCGAUGGAUUUCCCUGGAUGGCGUUUCACAGCGGAAACCGUGGGAUUGAUUUUGAACGUAAUGGGUCUGUAUGUGCUUCUGAAAGCGACCUCCUAUAAAUCAUCUGCUCCUCAGAUGGCCCCAUGAGGUAGGGAAGCUCUAAAGCUUGCUUUCUCUGUUACAGAAGGAAAUGAGCACAUCAUCGCAGCCUCUUGGUAAACUGCACCCCCUCCCUUCCUAUGGGUGAACUAAAACAGGAAAAAAUGAAACUGGCAGAUGUGAGAAAACUGGGAAAGAUCCAACAAAGGAAACCAAACUUUGUUUGUAAAAUAUAAAGAGAGGAUGAGGACCCCUCCUCCAGGAUCUCUGUGUGUCUGCCUCUGUCCUAGCACUGACUGCAGUGACACUGCAUGUUUACAUGACCAUCCCUCCACAGAGCACAUUUUCCAAAGGGCAGGGCCAUGUCUUCCAUAACCUGUAUUCCCAGUGCCCUACUCAUGCCUGGGACAAACACACAACAUGGGAGGUGCUCCUGAAUGUGCAGGUACUAACAGGGAGAAGAUGCAGUGGAUUUAACUUGGAAGAUUAUUAAAGGAAGGUGCUGCAUGUCUGCAGACAAUGAUUCAAGUUAGGAUAAAUGCGGAGGCAGAAUUUCUGGGGAAAAGGCCUAGCAGACAAAGGAGGUAGGAGUCUAGAAUGUUCCUUCAGUCUGGUCUACUCAACAAUCUUUUCAAAUGCAAACUACCGUCUUAGCUUAGGAUGGGGAAAGAUCCACUUUCUUAGAGAUGGGAGCUUGCAGCCACCUGUCACACACUUAAAAAGGAAUUUGAGUCCUGGUGCAGUGGCUCACGCCUGUAAUCCCAACACUUUGAGAGGCCAAGGUGGGCAGAUCACUUGAGGUCAGGAGUUCAAGACCAGCCCUGGCCAACAUGGUGAAACCCCAUGCCUACUAAAAAUGCAAAACUUAGCCACAUGUGGUGGCACAUGACACAUGACUUUAAUCCCAGCUACUCAGGAAGUUGAGGCAGGAGAAUCACUUGAACCCCGGAGGUGGAGACUGCAGUGAGCAGAGAUGGCACCACUGCAUUCUAGCCUAGGCAACAAAGUGAGACCCUGUCUCAAAAAAAAAAAAAAAAAAAAAAUAAAAGAGAGAGAAGAAUUCGAUAGGACAGUUGAGGCUACAACAAAGCACCCUCCCUGGAAUUGCUACUGUGGGCCAGGAGAAUUCUCCC
rnacentral:lncRNA from 1 species